rnacentral:rRNA from 1 species
UACGUAGGUGGCAAGCGUUGUCCGGAUUUACUGGGUGUAAAGGGCGUGUAGCCGGGCUGACAAGUCAGAUGUGAAAUCCGGGGGCUCAACCCCCGAACUGCAUUUGAAACUGUUGGUCUUGAGUAUCGGAGAGGCAGGCGGAAUUCCUAGUGUAGCGAUGAAAUGCGUAGAUAUUAGGAGGAACACCAGUGGCGAAGGCGGCCUGCUGGACGACAACUGACGGUGAGGCGCGAAAGCGUGGGGAGCAAACAGG